rnacentral:rRNA from 1 species
AGAGUUUGAUCCUGGCUCAGAUUGAACGCUGGCGGCAUGCCUUACACAUGCAAGUCGAACGGCAGCACGGGUGCUUGCACCUGGUGGCGAGUGGCGAACGGGUGAGUAAUAUAUCGGAACGUACCCUAGAGUGGGGGAUAACGUAGCGAAAGUUACGCUAAUACCGCAUACGAUCUACGGAUGAAAGUGGGGGAUCGCAAGACCUCAUGCUCAUGGAGCGGCCGAUAUCUGAUUAGCUAGUUGGUGGGGUAAAAGCCUACCAAGGCGACGAUCAGUAGCUGGUCUGAGAGGACGACCAGCCACACUGGAACUGAGACACGGUCCAGACUCCUACGGGAGGCAGCAGUGGGGAAUUUUGGACAAUGGGGGCAACCCUGAUCCAGCAAUGCCGCGUGAGUGAAGAAGGCCUUCGGGUUGUAAAGCUCUUUUGUCAGGGAAGAAACGGGAUUUUCUAAUACAAAGUCCUAAUGACGGUACCUGAAGAAUAAGCACCGGCUAACUACGUGCCAGCAGCCGCGGUAAUACGUAGGGUGCAAGCGUUAAUCGGAAUUACUGGGCGUAAAGCGUGCGCAGGCGGUUGUGCAAGACAGAUGUGAAAUCCCCGGGCUCAACCUGGGAAUUGCAUUUGUGACUGCACGGCUAGAGUGUGUCAGAGGGGGGUAGAAUUCCACGUGUAGCAGUGAAAUGCGUAGAGAUGUGGAGGAAUACCGAUGGCGAAGGCAGCCCCCUGGGAUAACACUGACGCUCAUGCACGAAAGCGUGGGGAGCAAACAGGAUUAGAUACCCUGGUAGUCCACGCCCUAAACGAUGUCUACUAGUUGUCGGGUCUUAAUUGACUUGGUAACGCAGCUAACGCGUGAAGUAGACCGCCUGGGGAGUACGGUCGCAAGAUUAAAACUCAAAGGAAUUGACGGGGACCCGCACAAGCGGUGGAUGAUGUGGAUUAAUUCGAUGCAACGCGAAAAACCUUACCUACCCUUGACAUGUACGGAACUUACCAGAGAUGGUUUGGUGCUCGAAAGAGAACCGUAACACAGGUGCUGCAUGGCUGUCGUCAGCUCGUGUCGUGAGAUGUUGGGUUAAGUCCCGCAACGAGCGCAACCCUUGUCAUUAGUUGCUACGAAAGGGCACUCUAAUGAGACUGCCGGUGACAAACCGGUGGAAGGUGGGGAUGACGUCAAGUCCUCAUGGCCCUUAUGGGUAGGGCUUCACACGUCAUACAAUGGUACAUACAGAGGGCCGCCAACCCGCGAGGGGGAGCUAAUCCCAGAAAGUGUAUCGUAGUCCGGAUUGUAGUCUGCAACUCGACUACAUGAAGUUGGAAUCGCUAGUAAUCGCGGAUCAGCAUGUCGCGGUGAAUACGUUCCCGGGUCUUGUACACACCGCCCGUCACACCAUGGGAGCGGGUUUCACCAGAAGUAGGUAGCCUAACCGCAAGGAGGGCGCUUACCACGGUGGGAUUCGUGACUGGGGUGAAGUCGUAACAAGGUA